rnacentral:tRNA from 1 species
GCGGGGGUAGCAGAGCCAGGUCAAACAGUAGAGAGGGCUAGAUGCGCGGGACUCAAGAUCCCGUCCCGAAGGGGUUCGUGGGUUCAAAUCCCACCCCCCGCACCA